GUGGGGAAUAUUCCGCAAUGGACGAAAGUCUGACGGAGCAACGCCGCGUGAGUGAUGAAGGUUUUCGGACUGUAAAGCUCUGUUGUUUAGGACGAAAGUGCCUGUUGCGAACAGUUACAGGUAUUGACGGUACUAAACGAGGAAGCCACGGCUAACUACGUGCCAGCAGCCGCGGUAAUACGUAGGUGGCAAGCGUUGUCCGGAAUUAUUGGGCGUAAAGAGCAUGUAGGCGGAGAUUUAAGUCUGUUGUGAAAAUGCGGGGCUCAACCCCGUAUUGCGAUGGAAACUGAAUUUCUUGAGUGCAGGAGAGGAAAGGGGAAUUCCCAGUGUAGCGGUGAAAUGCGUAGAUAUUGGGAGGAACACCAGUGGCGAAGGCGCCUUUCUGGACUGUGUCUGACGCUGAGAUGCGAAAGCCAGGGUAGCGAACGGGAUUAGAAACCCUGUAGUCC
rnacentral:rRNA from 1 species